AAUGCCCGCGUGUCUCUUCCCUUGCAGUGGUGGAGAGCAUCUUGCGGGGGGAAAAUGUCGGGAUUACGCCGCGCCGAUCUCGCACUGCGACCAACAACCACCACCAGACAGGGGUGCGUCACAUCCGACGGGACGGCGUGGUGCCCGCGCGCACACGCAAGAACUCCCUAAGCCGCCCGAACAACCUGCCGCCCACUGCCUCCCACACCCUGCCGCCAGCGCCCACUCAUCCGCCACUGCCGCCCCUGCGGGCCACGCCACCGGUCGCCACAACCACCACCGCCCCUGCCACAGCCCCCGAGUCCCCUGCCACCCCCGCCUCGUCGCCAGCCCCUGCCGUCGCUGCCCCGACCCCUGCCAGCACCACCAGUCCAAGCAGCAGCAGCAGCAGCAGCAGUAGCAGUAAUAGCAGCAGUACGCCCACGACCCUCAAGCUACCUGAACCGCCUCCACUCGCGGAGGAGAAGCAGAAGGGGGAACAACAGCAGCAGCAGAAAUCGCAGCAGAAGCAACAACAACAACAACAGCAGGAGCAAAAACAACAAAAACAGGAGCAGGAGAAA